GACGAACGCUGGCGGCGUGCCUAAUACAUGCAAGUCGAGCGGAUCUUCAUUAGCUUGCUUUUGAAGAUCAGCGGCGGACGGGUGAGUAACACGUGGGCAACCUGCCUGUAAGACUGGGAUAACUUCGGGAAACCGGAGCUAAUACCGGAUAAUCCUUUCCCUCACAUGAGGGGAAGCUGAAAGACGGUUUCGGCUGUCACUUACAGAUGGGCCCGCGGCGCAUUAGCUAGUUGGUGAGGUAAUGGCUCACCAAGGCGACGAUGCGUAGCCGAACUGAGAGGGUGAUAGGCCACACUGGGACUAAGACACGGCCCAGACUCCUACGGGAGGAAGCAGUAGGGAAGCUUCCGCAAUGGACGAAAGUCUGACGGAGCAACGCCGCGUGAACGAUGAAGGCCUUCGGGUCGUAAAGUUCUGUUGUCAGGGAAGAACAAGUACCGGAGUAACUGCCGGUACCUUGACGGUACCUGACCAGAAAGCCACGGCUAACUACGUGCCAGCCGCCGCCGUAA
rnacentral:rRNA from 1 species